GAAAUUUUAGUUAGCCCGUAUACUAAAAUUGGAACGAUACAGAGAAGAUUAACAUGGUCCCUGUGCAAGGAUGACAUGCAAAUUCAUGAAGCAUUCUGUUUAAAA